rnacentral:lncRNA from 1 species
UCUGGUGUUAAGUGAUAGAACAUCAGAUAUCAUUUCAGAAUUCUUAUUCCUGUCUCUCUCCUGUAGUCUUUAGAGUCAGUGAUGAAGGGCUUGGACCAGGAGCUCCAGGAGAAAGAUUAUAUCAUAUCCCAGCUACAGGAGGUUGUCAAUAGGAACUCAGAGGAUCUAGAGGUAGAGUGACAAUUCUAAGUAAUUAUUUGGUUAUUCUUAUAUAAUUACCAUUUCACAGUGUAAUUUCUAGUUGUGGAAUAAAAAUUGGGAAUGUAUUGUACCUAUUUCUGGACUGUUUGUCUCAUCUCAUUCCCCAGAUCAUGGUUGGCCGGUUGCAUAGCCAGGCUGAGUGUAGCAACAAAGAGCUGGGGCAACUGGAACAGAGGCUAAAAGAGACAGAAGCCAUUUUGCUUCAGACAACCCAGGAAAAGGAGACACAGAUGACAGACCAUCAACUUGAAAUUGAGAAACUGCAGGGUGAAGCUGAAGACAGCAACAGGAAGUUGGAGCAGCUGGAGGAGAAACUCAAGGAAAUGGAGGACAUUUUGUCUCAUACCACUGGCAAAUAUCUGCAGGACAAUCAACUUACAGACAGGAAACUGCAGGGUCAAGCAGAGGACAGAGACAGGAAGUUGGAGCAGCUGGAACAGAGACUUAAGGAGACUGUGGACAUUUUGGCUCAGAUCACUGAUGAUAAGGACAAACUGUUGCUAGAAAAUCAACUGGCAGAACAGAAACUACAGAGCCAGACUGAGGAUAGUAGUAUGAAGCUGGAGCAACUGGAUCAGAUGUUGAAAGAGAAGGAUGUGCUGUUCAUGCAGAGCACAGCAGACAAGGAGAUACAGCUGACAAACUACAAACUCACAGUAGAGAAGCUAAUGUCUUACAUCACCAUCAAUGAACAGAUGUUCAAGGAGUUGAGAGAACAUCACAGCCAGAUGCUGGCCAAGCAUACGCUGGAGCUUGAGGACUGUGGGAAGAGGCAGGAUCAGCUAUCCACAGCACAGAUUCAGAUCUCUGCCUCCCUGCAAGAGAAGUGCUCAGAGGUCUCUGAACAUAGACUCCUGACUGAGAGGGAGCAAGUCAUCAAGGUACUGUAGACCAUCAGAACUGGAGUCAAUUAUAUUGGAAUUCAAUCAAUUAUCUACAGUUCCCAUGUCUAAUUUCCUACUCUUAUCAAUCUUACUGUGUGUUUUUGAUUAGGGCCUGGACCAUUUUGCAGUCCAAAGGGAGGGGGGGAGAACUAAUCCCUGUCAGAGAGAGACUCUGGACCCUGACAACCACACCAUCCCAGAGAACAGUGAAGGUGAGUGUAAGUGGUCUGUCUGUGGUCUGGGGUGGUCUGUAGCUGAAGUGUAAUUGUAAAAGACUCAUAAAGACUCUUACUCUCUCAUUCCCCUUUCCUUUCUUCCUCCCUCUCUUUUAUUUUCCAUUUCACUCUCUCCACCUCCCUCUUCCCAGUUCCUUCAACUGAGGCUGGCCCGACCAAGUGUGAGAGGUGUCUCCAACUUUUGCAGAGGGAGAAUGGCAGUCUGCUGGACAGACUGAGAGCUAGCAAGCACCUCAACAAGACCCUGCGCAGCCAGCUGGACCUGUGCAGAUCCAUUAUGGCUCAGAGAGAGGGGGGUGAUGGACGCAGUUUCUCCCCCUCCAACUCACUCACAGUGGAAGAAGAAAUGAAGGAGCAGCUGCAGGAGAUCUUGAGGCUGAGACAGAGUCUGGAGGAGAGCAUCCAGGCAAACGGGAGGCUCCAGGAGCAUCUGAAGAACCAUAAGGCCCAGCAGGUAGCAACUCAGACUGGAGCCCAGCAGGCAGGGACAGAGAUGGGCCAGAACCACCCAGGUCAGUCAGACAUAGGGAUCAU